GAUGAACGCUGGCGGCGUGCCUAAUACAUGCAAGUCGAGCGAACAGACGAGGAGCUUGCUCCUCUGACGUUAGCGGCGGAGGUGUGAGUAACACGUGUAUAACCUACCUAUAAGACUGGGAUAACUUCGGGAAACCGGAGCUAAUCCCGGAUAAUAUACUGAACCGCAUGGUUCAAUAGUGAAAGACGGUUUUGCUGUCACUUAUCGCUGGAUACGCGCCGCAUGAGCUAGUUGGUAAGGUAACGGCUUAUCAAGGCAACGAUGCGUAGCCGACCGGAGGGGGUGAUCGCCCACACGAGAACUGAGACACGGACCAGACUCCUGCGGGAGGCAGCAGUAGGGUAUCUUCCGCAGUGGGCGAAAGCCUUGCGGAGCGACGCCGCGUGAGUGAUGGAGGUCUUCGGAGCGUAAAGCUCUGUUAUUAGUGAAGAACAAAUGUGUAAGUAGCUAUGCACGUCUUGACGGUACCUAAUCAGGAAGCCACGGCUAACUACGUG
rnacentral:rRNA from 1 species